UCCUUGGUAGCUCAGACAGUAAAGAAUCUGUCUGCAAUGUAGGAGACCCAGGUUCAAUUCCUGGGUCAGGAA
rnacentral:tRNA from 1 species